GGUGCUGUGGCUCACGUGGUAGAGCGCUAGCCUUGUAUGCCUGAGGCCCUGGGUUCCAUUCCUCAGCACCA
rfam:Dipodomys ordii contig_47267, whole genome shotgun sequence.